rnacentral:rRNA from 1 species
GCGGACGGGUGAGGAAUACAUCGGAAUCUACUUUUUCGUGGGGGAUAACGUAGGGAAACUUACGCUAAUACCGCAUACGACCUACGGGUGAAAGCAGGGGACCUUCGGGCCUUGCGCGAUUGAAUGAGCCGAUGUCGGAUUAGCUAGUUGGCGGGGUAAAGGCCCACCAAGGCGACGAUCCGUAGCUGGUCUGAGAGGAUGAUCAGCCACACUGGAACUGAGACACGGUCCAGACUCCUACGGGAGGCAGCAGUGGGGAAUAUUGGACAAUGGGCGCAAGCCUGAUCCAGCCAUACCGCGUGGGUGAAGAAGGCCUUCGGGUUGUAAAGCCCUUUUGUUGGGAAAGAAAUCCAGCCGGUUAAUACCUGGUUGG